CACGUAGGGGGCGAGCGUUGUCCGGAUUUAUUGGGCGUAAAGAGCUCGUAGGCGGCUUGGUAAGUCAGGUGUGAAACCUCCAGGCUCAACCUGGAGACGCCACUUGAUACUGCCAUAGCUAGAGUCCGGUAGGGGAGCGUGGAAUUUCUGGUGUAGCGGUGAAAUGCGCAGAUAUCAGAAGGAACACCAGCGGCGAAGGCGGCGCUCUGGGCCGGAACUGACGCUGAGGAGCGAAAGCGUGGGUAGCAAACAGG
rnacentral:rRNA from 1 species